rnacentral:rRNA from 1 species
GAGCACGUAGGUGGGUUUGUAAGUCAGAUGUGAAAGCCUUCUGUUCAACGGAAGAAUUGCAUCUGAAACUGCGAGUCUUGAGUGUAGGAGGGGAGAAUGGAACUUCUGGUGGAGCGGUGAAAUGCGUAGAUAUCAGAAGGAACUCCGGCGGCGAAAGCGAUUCUCUGGCCUAUUACUGACACUCAGUGUGCGAAAGCUAGGGGAGCAAACGGGAUUAGAUACCCCGGUAGUCCUAGCCGUAAACGAUGGGCACUGAGUAGAGGGGUUUU